GCGGUGCGCCUUAUGCAUGCAAGUCGAGCGAAGCUUUUCAGUAGUUUACUACAGAAAAUGACUGAGCGGCGAACGGGUGAGUAACGCGUGAGCAAUCUACCUUAGUUACAGGGAUAGCCCGAGGAAACUCGGAUUAAUACCUGAUAUUCUUUAUUUCUCGCAUGAGAAUAAAAGGAAAGGUCAGCCGAACUAAGAUGAGCUCGCGUUCUAUCAGCUAGUUGGUGAGGUAAAAGCUUACCAAGGCUACGACGGAUAGCUGGUCUGAGAGGACGAUCAGCCACACUGGGACUGAGACACGGCCCAGACUCCUACGGGAGGCUGCAGCAGGGAAUAUUGUGCAAUGAACGAAAGUUUGACACAGCGACACCGCGUGUGGGAUGACGGAUCUAGGUUUGUAAACCACUUUCAGGAGGGAAGAAAAUGACGGUACCUCCACAAGAAGCCCCGGCCAACUACGUGCCAGCAGCCGCGGUAAUACGUAGGGGGCGAGCGUUGUCCGGAUUUAUUGGGCGUAAAGAGCUCGUAGGCGGUUCAACAAGUCGGUCGUGAAAGUUCAGGGCUCAACCCUGAAAUGUCGAUCGAUACUGUUGUGACUAGGAUACGGUAGAGGUGAGUGGAAUUCCGAGUGUAGCGGUGAAAUGCGUAGAUAUUCGGAGGAACACCAAUUGCGAAGGCAGCUCACUGGACCGCUAUCGACGCUGAGGAGCGAAAGCUAGGGGAGCAAACAGGAUUAGAUACCCUGGUAGUCCUAGCUGUAAACGAUGGAUACUAGACGUAGGAACUGGAUUGACGGUUUCUGUGUCGUAGCUAACGCGUUAAGUAUCCCGCCUGGGGAGUACGGUCGCAAGACUAAAACUCAAGGAAUUGACGGGACCCCGCACAAGCGGCGGAGCAUGCGGCUUAAUUCGAUGAUACCCGUAGAACCUUACCUGG
rnacentral:rRNA from 1 species